ACACGUAGGGGGCGAGCGUUGUUCGGAAUCAUUGGGCGUAAAGGGCGUGCAGGCGGUCCUGCAAGUCCGGCGUGAAAGACCCCGGCGCAACCGGGGGGACGCGCUGGAUACUGCCGGGCUUGAGUACCGGCGGGGAUGCCGGAACUCCAGGUGGAGGGGCGAAAUCUGUAGAUAUCUGGAAGAACACCAAUGGCGAAGGCAGGCAUCUGGCCAUGUACUGACGCUGAGACGCGAAGGUGCGGGGAGCAAACAGGUUUAGAUACCCUGGUAGUCCGCACAGUAAACGAUGUGCACCAGGUGGCGGGGGGUCGACCCCCGGUACCGUAGCUAACGCAUUAAGUGCACCGCCUGGGGAGUAUGCUCGCAAGGGUGAAACUCAAAUGAAUUGGCGGG
rnacentral:rRNA from 1 species